CCACACUACAGCUCACACAGUGGCAGGUGCCUGUACCCACAUUACAGCCCACACAGUGGCAGGUGCCUGUACCCACACUACAGCCCACACACUGGCAGGUGCCUGUACCCACACUACAGCCCACACAGUGGCAGUGCCUGUACCCACACUACAGCCCACACAGUAGCAGGUGCCUGUACCCACACUGCAGCCCACACAGUGACACUGCCUGUACCCACACUACAGCCCACACAGUGGCAGGUGCCUGUACCCACACUACAGCCUGCACAGUGACAGUGCCUGUACCCACACUACAGCCUGCACAGUGACAGUGCCUGUACCCACACUACAGCCUGCACAGUGACAGUGCCUGUACCCACACUACAGCCCACACAGUGGCAGGUGCCUGUACCCACACUACAGCCUGCACAGUGACAGUGCCUGUACCCACACUACAGC
rnacentral:lncRNA from 1 species